GACGAACGCUGGCGGCGUGCUUAACACAUACAAGUCGAACGGAAAGGCCCUGCUUUUGUGGGGUGCUCGAGUGGCGAACGGGUGAGUAACACGUGAGUAACCUGCCCUUGACUUUGGGAUAACUUCAGGAAACUGGGGCUAAUACCGGAUAGGAGCUCCUGCUGCAUGGUGGGGGUUGGAAAGUUUCGGCGGUUGGGGAUGGACUCGCGGCUUAUCAGCUUGUUGGUGGGGUAGUGGCUUACCAAGGCUUUGACGGGUAGCCGGCCUGAGAGGGUGACCGGCCACAUUGGGACUGAGAUACGGCCCAGACUCCUACGGGAGGCAGCAGUGGGGAAUAUUGCACAAUGGGCGGAAGCCUGAUGCAGCAACGCCGCGUGCGGGAUGACGGCCUUCGGGUUGUAAACCGCUUUCGCCUGUGACGAAGUGUGAGUGACGGUAAUGGGUAAAGAAGCACCGGCUAACUACGUG
rnacentral:rRNA from 1 species